UAACAAUGAAACCGACUCUUCUUUGGUUUUUGGAGGUCGUAAAAGAAAAACCAUGAUGGAAAAGUGGAAAAAAAUUCAACAAGAGAGUGAGAAUGUGGUUAUAACACAUGAAGUGGAUAGGUACUUGUUGGAUCCACUUGAAUCCAUUGAUGAGGAGUUUGAUAUACUAGGGUGGUGGAGAAUAAAUGGGCUCAAGUAUCCUACUUUGGCAUCAAUUGCAAAGGAUGUGCUUGCAAUCCCUACUUCCACAAUAGCUUCGGAGUCUUGUUUUAGCACAAGUGGGAGAGUGAUUGACUCGUUUCGAAGCUCAUUGUCUCCUAGGAUGGUUGAGGCUUUGAUUUGCUCUCAAAAUUGGAUAAGGUCCGAAGAUAUAUCUUCAUUGCAAUAUGUGCCAACCAUUGAGGAGAUGGAGUUUUAUGAAGCAAUUGAAAUGGAAAUGGGGAGUAAAACAUCCACAACAAAUUUGAAUAAGACUCCCCCUUCUUAGUGUGAUGAAGAUAUGUUGGAAGGUUGCUUUGUUAAGGCUUUUGGAAGAAUGGAGGCAGCUGAUUUUUUGCAAGGAUAUUAUCUUUAGACUUUAUGUGUAUUUUUGUGAUGGGUUGUAAUAUUUCAUAAGUUUCAUUUGGAUUGCUUGCUUUAUUUGUAAGUUAUUUUUUGUAAUGGUUUGUAAGUUUCAUUUUGUAA